AGUGAACGCUGGCGGUAGGCCUAACACAUGCAAGUCGAACGGCAGCACAGUAAGAGCUUGCUCUUACGGGUGGCGAGUGGCGGACGGGUGAGGAAUACAUCGGAAUCUACUUUUUCGUGGGGGAUAACGUAGGGAAACUUACGCUAAUACCGCAUACGACCUACGGGUGAAAGCAGGGGAUCUUCGGACCUUGCGCGAUUGAAUGAGCCGAUGUCGGAUUUGCUAGUUGGCGGGGUAAAGGCCCACCAAGGCGACGAUCCGUAGCUGGUCUGAGAGGAUGAUCAGCCACACUGGAACUGAGACACGGUCCAGACUCCUACGGGAGGCAGCAGUGGGGAAUAUUGGACAAUGGGCGCAAGCCUGAUCCAGCCAUACCGCGUGUGUGAAGAAGGCCUUCGGGUUGUAAAGCCCUUUUGUUGGGAAAGAAAAGCAGCAGGUUAAUACCCCGCUGUUCUGACGGUACCCAAAGAAUAAGCACCGGCUAACUUCGUG
rnacentral:rRNA from 1 species